rnacentral:rRNA from 1 species
GUGCACGCUGGCGGUAGGCCUAACACAUGCAAGUUGAACGGCAGCACAGUAAGAGCUUGCUCUUACGGGUGGCGAGUGGCGGACGGGUGAGGAAUACAUCGGAAUCUACUUUUUCGUGGGGGAUAACGUAGGGAAACUUACGCUAAUACCGCAUACGACCUACGGGUGAAAGCAGGGGAUCUUCGGACCUUGCGCGAUUGAAUGAGCCGAUGUCGGAUUAGCUAGUUGGCGGGGUAAAGGCCCACCAAGGCGACGAUCCGUAGCUGGUCUGAGAGGAUGAUCAGCCACACUGGAACUGAGACACGGUCCAGACUCCUACGGGAGGCAGCAGUGGGGAAUAUUGGACAAUGGGCGCAAGCCUGAUCCAGCCAUACCGCGUGGGUGAAGAAGGCCUUCGGGUUGUAAAGCCCUUUUGUUGGGAAAGAAAAGCAGCAGGUUAAUACCCCGCCGUUCUGACGGUACCCAAAGAAUAAGCACCGGCUAACUUCGUG